CCUACGGGAGGCAGCAGUGAGGAAUAUUGGUCAAUGGACGAGAGUCUGAACCAGCCAAGUAGCGUGAAGGAUGACUGCCCUAUGGGUUGUAAACUUCUUUUAUAUGGGAAUAAAAUGUUCCACGUGUGGGAUUUUGUAUGUACCAUAUGAAUAAGGAUCGGCUAACUCCGUGCCAGCAGCCGCGGUAAUACGGAGGAUCCGAGCGUUAUCCGGAUUUAUUGGGUUUAAAGGGAGCGUAGGUGGAUUGUUAAGUCAGUUGUGAAAGUUUGCGGCUCAACCGUAAAAUUGCAGUUGAAACUGGCAGUCUUGAGUACAGUAGAGGUGGGCGGAAUUCGUGGUGUAGCGGUGAAAUGCUUAGAUAUCACGAAGAACUCCGAUUGCGAAGGCAGUUCACUGGACUGCAACUGACACUGAGGCUCGAAAGUGUGGGUAUCAAACAGGAUUAGAUACAACGGUAGUC
rnacentral:rRNA from 1 species